AUUGAACGCUGGCGGCAGGCCUAACACAUGCAAGUCGAACGAUAACAGGAAGAAGCUUGCUUCUUUGCUGACGAGUGGCGGACGGGUGAGUAAUGUCUGGGAAACUGCCUGAUGGAGGGGGAUAACUACUGGAAACGGUAGCUAAUACCGCAUAACGUCGCAAGACCAAAGAGGGGGACCUUCGGGCCUCUUGCCAUCGGAUGUGCCCAGAUGGGAUUAGCUAGUAGGUGGGGUAACGGCUCACCUAGGCGACGAUCCCUAGCUGGCCUGAGAGGAUGACCAGCCACACUGGAACUGAGACACGGUCCAGACUCCUACGGGAGGCAGCAGUGGGGAAUAUUGCACAAUGGGCGCAAGCCUGAUGCAGCCAUGCCGCGUGUAUGAAGAAGGCCUUCGGGUUGUAAAGUACUUUCAGCGGGGAGGAAGGGAGUAAAGUUAAUACCUUUGCUCAUUGACGUUACCCGCAGAAGAAGCACCGGCUAACUCCGUG
rnacentral:rRNA from 1 species